UAAUAAGUGUUUUAUGGCACUUUUUAAAUCCAUAUCCACCUUGUGUGCAAUGUCGGUCGAUCUUCUUUUUUUGAGGAUCGACCAAACAUCAACCCUUAUUUUUAACUCUUUGUCUGAAAAUAUUAUGAAUAAACAAUUCAAAAUA
rnacentral:misc_RNA from 1 species